rnacentral:rRNA from 1 species
GAUGAACGCUAGCGAUAGGCUUAACACAUGCAAGUCGAGGGGCAGCAUAAUUUUAGCUUGCUAAGAUUGAUGGCGACCGGCGCACGGGUGCGUAACGCGUAUGCAACCUGCCUGUAAUUAGGGGAUAGCUCGGUGAAAGUCGAAUUAAUACCCUAUAUUCUAUAUUUUUCGCAUGAUUGAUAUAGGAAAGAUUUAUUGAUUACAGAUGGGCAUGCGUUCCAUUAGCUUGUUGGUAAGGUAACGGCUUACCAAGGCAACGAUGGAUAGGGGGACUGAGAGGUUGACCCCCCACACUGGUACUGAGACACGGACCAGACUCCUACGGGAGGCAGCAGUGAGGAAUAUUGGUCAAUGGGCGCAAGCCUGAACCAGCCAAGUCGCGUGAAGGACGACGGUCCUAUGGAUUGUAAACUUCUUUUGUAGAGGAAUAAUGAUGGCCACGAGUGGCUGAAGGGAAUGUACUCUACGAAUAAGUAUCGGCUAACUCCGUGCCAGCCGCCGCCGUAACAC